rnacentral:rRNA from 1 species
CCUAGGAACUUUCUUUAAGUGGAGCAUAACUCCGCGAAAGCGGAGAUAAUACUCCAUGUGAUCGCAAGAUCAAAGCCACGCAAGUGGCGCUUAAAGUGAGGCCUGGGCACCAUCAGCUAGUUGGUAAGGUAAUGGCUUACCAAGGCUAUGACGGUUAGGGGUCCCGAGAGGGAUAACCCCCACACUGGAACUGCGACACGGUCCAGACUCCUACGGGAGGCAGCAGUUUGGAAUUUUGGACAAUGGGCGAAAGCCUGAUCCAGCGACGCCGCGUGGACGAUGAAGGCCUUCGGGUUGUAAAGUCCUUUUGCUCGGGAACAAUAUUUUGAGCGUACCGAGAGAAUAAGAGGUUGCUAACUCUGUGCCAGCAGCAGCGGUAAUACAGAGACCUCAAGCGUUAUCCGGAAUCAUUGGGCGUAAAGCGUACCGAUAGGUGGUUUUGCAAGUCAGAAGUGAAAUCUCUCAGCUUAACUGGGAGACUGUCUUUUGAAACUGCAAAACUUGAGGGGCAAAGAGGAAGCUGGAACAAACGGUGUAGUAGUGAAAUGCGUUGAUAUCGUUUGGAACACCAAUAGCGUAGGCAGGCUUCUGGGUGCCACCUGACACUGCUAGGACGAAAGCGUGGGGAGCGAUAAGGAUUAGAUACCCUUGUAGUCCACGCUGUAAACGAUGAUGAUUAGGUGCUAGGGAGUAUCGACCCUUCUUAGUACCAUAGCUAACGCGUUAAAUCAUCCGCCUGGGGAGUACGGCCGCAAGGCUAAAACUCAAAGGAAUUGACGGGGACCUGCACAAGCGGUGGAGCAUGUGGUUUAAUUCGACGAUAAGCGAGGAACCUUACCAAGGCUUGACAUGUAGCUGCAUCCCUCAGAAAUGAGGGCGCCUUCGAGGGUGCUACACAGGUGCUGCACGGUUGUCGUCAGCUCGUGCCGUGAGGUGUUCACUUAAGUGUGAAAACGAGCGCAACCCCUACGGUGAGUUACAAGUGUCUCACAGAACUGCCCGCGUUUAAGCGGGAGGAAGGUGGGGAUGACGUCAAAUCAGCGUGGCUCUUACGCCUUGGGCGACACACGUGCUACAAUGGGCAGAACAAAGGGACGCCAAGUCGCAAGACGGAGCAAAUC